rnacentral:rRNA from 1 species
GGAUAUAGCUGGUUCUCCCCGAAAUAGGUUUAGGCCUAGCCUUGAGAUUUAGCACUGUGGAGGUAGAGCACUGAAUAUAUGAUGGCCCCGUCUAGGGGUACUGAAUGUAAUCAAACUCCGAAUGCCAUGGUUGUAUGCUCAGGAGUCAGCGUAUGGGUGAUAACGUCCAUGCGCGAAAGGAAAAGAGUCCGGAUCGCCAGUUAAGGUCCCAAAAUUUGUACUAAGUGGGAAAGGAUGUGGAGUUGUCAAAACAGCUAGGAGGUUGGCUCAGAAGCAGCCAUCCUUUAAAGAGUGCGUAAUAGCUCACUAGUCGAGUGACACUGCGCCGAAGAUGUACCGGGGCUAAGUACAAUACCGAAACUGCGGAUUCACAUUUAUAUGUGAGUGGUAGGGGAGCGUUCCAAGUUGAGUUGAAGGUAGACCGUGAGGACUGCUGGAUUACUUGGAAGUGAGAAUGCCGGUGUGAGUAGCGCAAGAUGGGUGAGAAUCCCAUCCACCGUUUGACUAAGGGUUCCUGGGGCAGGUUCGUCCGCCCAGGGUUAGUCGGGUCCUAAGACGAGGCCGAGAGGCGUAGCCGAUGGACAACAGGUUGAUAUUCCUGUACUACCUAUAAGACUGAUGGAGUGACGGAGAAGGUUAGGAAAAGCCAGUUAUUGGAUUCUGGUCUAAGCACAAAGGCUUAUAAAUUAGGAAAUCUGUUUAUAAUUAAGCUGAAGUGUGAUGGUGAAGUCGCUUGCGACGAAAUUUUCUGACACUAUGCUUCCAAGAAAAGCUUCUAGGGUUAAUCUUAUAGGUACCCGUACUCAGAACCGACACAGGUGGUCAAGGAGAGUAUCCUAAGGUGAGCGAGAGAACUAUGGUUAAGGAACUCGGCAAAAUAACCCCGUAACUUCGGGAGAAGGGGUGGUCACUAGAUGACCGACACUAAAGACGCCCAGGCAACUGUUUACCAAAAACACAGGUCUCUGCUAAGUCGUAAGACGAUGUAUAGGGGCUGACACCUGCCCAGUGCUGGAAGGUUAAGAGGAGUGCUUAGAUAGACGCAAGUCGAUUAUUCGAAGGUACGAAUUGAAGCCCCAGUGAACGGCGGCCGUAACUAUAACGGUCCUAAGGUAGCGAAAUUCCUUGUCAGGUAAGUUCUGACCCGCACGAAAGGUGUAAUGAUCUGGGCACUGUCUCAACCAUAGACUCGGUGAAAUCUUAAUACCUGUGAAAAUGCAGGUUACCCGCAACAGGACGGAAAGACCCCAUGGAGCUUUACUGUAGCUUGAUAUUGAAGUUCGGUAUAUUAUGUAGAGAAUAGGUGGGAGACUAUGAAGUUAGGACGCUAGUUCUAAUGGAGUCACCUUUGGAAUACCACCCUUAAUGUAUUGAAUUUCUAACCUCGAUCCAUUAUCUGGAUUAGGGACAGUGUCUGGUGGGCAGUUUGACUGGGGCGGUCGCCUCCCAAAAAGUAACGGAGGCGCCCAAAGGUUCCCUCAGAAUGGUUGGACAUCAUUCAAAGAGCGUAAAGGUAUAAGGGAGCUUGACUGCGAGACCAACAAGUCGAGCAGAUACGAAAGUAGGGCUUAGUGAUCAGACGAUUCAGAAUGGAAUGGUCGUCGCUUAACGGAUAAAAGUUACCCUGGGGAUAACAGGCUGAUACCACCCAAUAGUUCACAUAGACGGUGGUGUUUGGCACCUCGAUGUCGGCUCGUCGUAUCCUGGAGGUGAAGUCGCUUCCAAGGGUUGGGCUGUUCGCCCAUUAAAACGGCACGCGAGCUGGGUUCAGAACGUCGUGAGACAGUUCGGUCCCUAUCCGUUGUGGGCG